GAUGAACGCUAGCGGCAGGCUUAACACAUGCAAGUCGAGGGGUAGAGGAAGCUUGCUUCCUUGAGACCGGCGCACGGGUGCGUAACGCGUAUACAAUCUACCUUUUACAGAGGGAUAGCCCCAGAGAAAUUUGGAUUAAUACCUCAUAGUAUUUUCGGAUCGCAUGAUUUGAUUAUUAAAGUUCCAACGGUAAAAGAUGAGUAUGCGUCCCAUUAGCUAGAUGGUAAGGUAACGGCUUACCAUGGCAAUGAUGGGUAGGGGUCCUGAGAGGGAGAUCCCCCACACUGGUACUGAGACACGGACCAGACUCCUACGGGAGGCAGCAGUGAGGAAUAUUGGACAAUGGGCGCAAGCCUGAUCCAGCCAUGCCGCGUGCAGGAAUAAGGUCCUAUGGAUUGUAAACUGCUUUUAUACAGGAAGAAACCCUCCCACGUGUGGGAGCUUGACGGUACUGUAGGAAUAAGGAUCGGCUAACUCCGUGCCAGCAGCCGCGGU
rnacentral:rRNA from 1 species